CAGGGACUGAGCAAGUGAACCACACGUAGCGAGAAGUGAGUUGCUUCCAAGGUGUUUUUGUUUUCGGAUUGCUAAGUGAGUCACAAAGGAGUUUUAUAGUGCACUGCAUGAGAGGACAAAGUGAGCUUCGAAAACAUACAUAUCAAUUCAUUAUUUUUUACACAGCCACACAGCCAUCUAGUACACAGCAGAAUCAACGAUGCAAUACCCAACAAAACUCCACUAGGGAUAGACUUGCUUAUACAAAAUGACCAUUCAUUCUUAAUGCCCUUUUCUCUAUGUGUUUCCCAUAAACAACAAAUCAAACUUCAAAUGAACAUCGAUGUUCUCUUCUCUUUCUUACUGAGUGCACUGCAAAUGAUUUCUAGAAGAAAAAAAAGAGUGAGCUGCAAAACAAAAAGAGUGGGCUGCAAAACAAAAAGAAUGAGCUGCACCACACUAAACUAAACACACCAAAAAAUACUGAAUCGCAUCGGGUGAGCACUGCACACGCUACCCCGCCGGACUGUACCAUUGCGCCUGCCGUACUGCAUGCACAUACCCCUGCAAAAUGGGAGGAGGCUUCACCUCGCCAAUGGUCAAGAAGGAGGCAUUGGAGGCUUGGCGAAGUUGUGAUGUACGUGGCCACCGUCACACAGUCAACAGCGCAGCUGCCCGGGGUGAACUCCACUGUUUGAGCACCUACACCAAACAAUUUUUGCAAAAGCUCUGAAGUGUACGAAAAUAUGACAGGAAAGAAAACCAGCCGCGCCAAAAGCGCAUGUCUGCACCAACGGAACUGCAAACAGAGGCGCACUGCGCCACAAUGCCAUCUUCUUGUUGCUGCUCUAGCGUAGGAGGGAAAGGAGGACAGAGGUAGCUGCCACCCAAGGCCGGAGACUGCCGGAUCUCCUCGUCACGUCGUCUGCAAUUGUGCCACAAUGGGAAGGGAGGUAGCGGAGCGGGGAGGGAAGAGCGGCCGGCUGGAGCACAUCGCCACCAAUCGUACCACAGUCGGGAGGGAGGUAGCGGAACGGGGAGGGGAGAACGGCCGGCGAACCCCCGUCGCUGAAGAGAGGCAGUGGGUGUACCUCCCCCGUCGUGGUCUUCAUACUCCACCACCAGGCCGGAUCCGGCGAGUUCGCCGGUGGUAGCGCGGUGAGCGCGGGAUCCCCCUAGCGGAUCUAGGGAUUGGGGAGAUGGGACAUGCGUCGGUGCUUGGGAAGUCGGCCACUGGAGAGGAGGGAGGUGGUAGUGAGAGGCAGGCCCGCGCGCGCCGUUGGUGGAGGCGUCGGUUUCUGGAAGGUGUGGAUCGGCGACGAGGGAGGGGGGCGGCCCGGCGGCGCUGAAGGGUGUGGAGGGAGGCGGCAUGGUGCGGGAGGGGGCGACCUGGCGGCGCGGGCGGGAGACGGCUUAGCGCGGGAGGGAUGCGGCCCGGCGGUGUAGGGAGGGAGGCGCGGGGAGGGAGGCGGCGUGGUGCGGGGAGGGAGCCGCACGGCUACAGGGUGGAGAUCGUGCGGGAGUGGGAGGUACACGAUAAGGUGUGGGGGUCUUUUUU
rnacentral:rRNA from 1 species